rnacentral:misc_RNA from 1 species
GAUGAAGAACGCAGCGAAAUGCGAUAAGUAAUGUGAAUUGCAGAAUUCAGUGAAUCAUCGAAUCUUUGAACGCACAUUGCGCCCGCCAGUAUUCUGGCGGGCAUGCCUGUUCGAGCGUCAUUACAACCCUCAGGCCCCCGGGCCUGGCGUUGGGGAUCGGCGGAAGCCCCCUGCGGGCACAACGCCGUCCCCCAAAUACAGUGGCGGUCCCGCCGCAGCUCCCAUUGCGUAGUAGCUAACACCUCGCAACUGGAGAGCGGCGCGGCCACGCCGUAAAACACCCAACUUCUGAAUGUUGACCUCGAAUCAGGUAGGAAUACCCGCUGAACUUAAGCAUAUCAAUAAGCGGAGGA